GACGAACGCUGGCGGCGUGCUUAACACAUGCAAGUCGAGCGGUAAGGCCCUUUCGGGGGUACACGAGCGGCGAACGGGUGAGUAACACGUGGGUGACCUGCCCUCAGCUCUGGGAUAAGCCCGGGAAACUGGGUCUAAUACCGGAUAUGACUCCAUGACGCAUGUUGUGGGGUGGAAAGCCUUGUGCGGCUGAGGAUGGGCCCGCGGCCUAUCAGCUUGUUGGUGGGGUGAUGGCCUACCAAGGCGACGACGGGUAGCCGGCCUGAGAGGGCGACCGGCCACACUGGGACUGAGACACGGCCCAGACUCCUACGGGAGGCAGCAGUGGGGAAUCUUGCGCAAUGGGCGAAAGCCUGACGCAGCGACGCCGCGUGAGGGAUGACGGCCUCGGUUGUAA
rnacentral:rRNA from 1 species